rnacentral:rRNA from 1 species
GACGAACGCUGGCGGCGUGCUUAACACAUGCAAGUCGAACGGAAAGGCCCUGCUUUUGUGGGGUGCUCGAGUGGCGAACGGGUGAGUAACACGUGAGUAACCUGCCCUGGACUUUGGGAUAACUUCAGGAAACUGGGGCUAAUACCGGAUAGGAGCUCCUGCUGCAUGGUGGGGGUUGGAAAGGUUCGGCGGUUGGGGAUGGACUCGCGGCUUAUCAGCUUGUUGGUGGGGUAGUGGCUUACCAAGGCUUUGACGGGUAGCCGGCCUGAGAGGGUGACCGGCCACAUUGGGACUGAGAUACGGCCCAGACUCCUACGGGAGGCAGCAGUGGGGAAUAUUGCACAAUGGGCGGAAGCCUGAUGAAGCAACGCCGCGUGCGGGAUGACGGCCUUCGGGUUGUAAACCGCUUUCGCCUGUGACGAAGCGUGAGUGACGGUAAUGGGUAAAGAAGCACCGGCUAACUACGUG